rnacentral:misc_RNA from 1 species
UACGUAGGGUGCAAGCGUUAAUCGGAAUUAUUGGGCGUAAAGGGUGCGCAGGUGGUUAUAUAAGUCAGAUGUGAAAUCCCUGGGCUUAACCUAGGAAUUGCGUUUGAAACUAUAUAGCUAGAGUGUGGCAGAGGGGAGUGGAAUUCCAUGUGCGGUAGUGAAAUGCGUAGAGAUGUGGAAGAACACCGAUGGCGAAGGCAGCUCCCUGAGUUAACACUGACGCUCAUGCACGAAAGCGUGGGGAGCAAACAGG